GCAUUGGUGGUUUAGUGGUAAAAUUAGCCGUUGCCAUGUCAUUCGGUCCUCACGAACAGCAUAGUCGGCUAGCCCCGGGUUCGAUUCCCGGCCGAUGCA
rnacentral:tRNA from 1 species